rnacentral:rRNA from 1 species
CCUACGGGAGGCAGCAGUGAGGAAUAUUGGUCAAUGGACGCAAGUCUGAACCAGCCAUGCCGCGUGCAGGAAGACGGAUCUAUGGUUUGUAAACUUCUUUUAUACGGGGAUAAACGCAUAUACGCGUAUCUAUCUGAAUAUAUCGUACGAAUAAGCAUCGGCUAACUCCGUGCCAGCAGCCGCGGUAAUACGGAGGAUUCAAGCGUUAUCCGGAUUUAUUGGGUUUAAAGGGUGCGUAGGCUGUUGUGUAAGUCAGCGGUGAAAGUUUGUGGCUCAACCAUAAAAUUGCCGUUGAAACUGGAAGACUAGAGGGUGUUUGAGGUAGGCGGAAUGCGUGGUGUAGCGGUGAAAUGCAUAGAGAUCACGCAGAACUCCGAUUGCGAAGGCAGCUUACUAAGCCAUAACUGACACUGAAGCACGAAAGCGUGGGGAUCAAACAGGAUUAGAUACCCUGGUAGUC